UGGCUUUGGUCACAGUCAAACUGCUUUAAGUUUGACCAUGUUUAUAGAAAAAAAUAGUAAUAUUUUCGACCCAAGAUAAAUUUAUUAUAAAAAUAUGUUUAAUUAUUAAUUUAAUAAAACUAAUUUGGUAAUGUAAAUAUUACUAUAUUUGUCUAUAAACUUAGUCAAACUUAAAGCAGUUUGACUUUGACUAAAGUCAA
rnacentral:pre_miRNA from 1 species